GACGAACGCUGGCGGCGUGCUUAACACAUGCAAGUCGAACGGAAAGGCCCUGCUUUUGUGGGGUGCUCGAGUGGCGAACGGGUAAGUAACACGUGAGUAACCUGCCCUUGACUUUGGGAUAACUUCAGGAAACUUGGGCUAAUACCGGAUAUGAGCUCCUGCUGCAUGGUGGGGGUUGGAAAGUUUCGGCGGUUGGGGAUGGACUCGCGGCUUAUCAGCUUGUUGGUGGGGUAGUGGCUUACCAAGGCUUUGACGGGUAGCCGGCCUGAGAGGGUGACCGGCCACAAUGGGACUGAGAGACGGCGCAGACUCCAACGGGAGGCAGCAGGGGGGAAUAUGGCACAGUGGGCGGAAGUGUAGGACAGCGACGCCGGGUGCGGGAUGAGGGCCUGUGGGGUGUAAACAGCUUUCGCCUGAGACGAAGCGUGAGUGACGGUAAUGGGUAAAGAAGCACCGGCUAACUACGUG
rnacentral:rRNA from 1 species